rnacentral:rRNA from 1 species
CGAAAGCCUGACGGAGCAAUACCGCGUGAAGGAAGACGGCCUAUGGGUUGUAAACUUCUUUUCUCAGGGAGGAACUCAAUGACGUGUACCUGAGGAAUAAGCAUCGGCUAACUCCGUGCCAGCAGCCGCGGUAAGACGGAGGAUGCAAGUGUUAUCCGGAAUCACUGGGCGUAAAGCGUCUGUAGGUGGUUUAAUAAGUCAACUGUUAAAUCUUGAGGCUCAACCUCAAAAUCGCAGUCGAAACUAUUAGACUAGAGUAUAGUAGGGGUAAAGGGAAUUUCCAGUGGAGCGGUGAAAUGCGUAGAGAUUGGAAAGAACACCGAUGGCGAAGGCACUUUACUGGGCUAUUACUAACACUCAGAGACGAAAGCUAGGGUAGCA